AUUCCAGCUCCAGUAGCGUAUAUUAAAGUUGUUGCAGUUAAAAAGCUCGUAGUUGGAUUUCUGGUUUCACAGAACUGGCCUACUUCCUCAAGGUCGUGUGCGCCGUGUUUUGUGUACCAUCCUUCUAGAAAUUGUGUUCCAUCCCUUCACUGGGAUAGAUCCGAGAUCUAGAUCUUUUACUUUGAAGAAAUUAGAGUGUUCAAAGCAGGCUCGCGCUGUGAAUACAUUAGCAUGGAAUAAUAAUUUAGGACUUGGUAUCCUAUUUUGUUGGUUCUCAGGAUCUAAGUAAUGAUUGAUAGGGAUAGUUGGGGGUGCUAGUAUUGAGCGGCCAGAGGUGAAAUUCUUGGAUUCGCUCAAGACUAACUUACGCGAAAGCAUUCACCAAGGAUGUCUUCAUCA
rnacentral:rRNA from 1 species